GACGUAAGGUGCAAGCGUUAUCCGGAAUCACUGGGCGUAAAGGGCAUCUAGGCGGCUAAACAAGUCAGGGGUGAAAAGUCAGGGCUCAACCUUGGCCUUGCCUUUGAAACUGUAUAGCUAGAGUAUGGGAGAGGAAGGCGGAACUACAAGUGUAGAGGUGAAAUUCGUAGAUAUUUGUAGGAAUGCCGAUGACGAAGGUAGCUUUCUAGACCAAUACUGACGCUGAAGUGCGAAAGCUAGGGGAGCAAACAGG
rnacentral:rRNA from 1 species